rnacentral:tRNA from 1 species
GGGCCCGUAGCUCAGCCUGGCGGAGCAAUGGUCUUAUAAGCCAUAGGUCGUGAGUUCAAAUCUCAUCGGGCCCA